CCUACGGGUGGCAGCAGUGAGGAAUAUUGGUCAAUGGGCGCGAGCCUGAACCAGCCAAGUAGCGUGAAGGAUGACAGCCCGACGGGGUGUAAACGGCUUUUAUAAAGGAAUAAAGUGAGGCACGUGUGCCUUUUUGUAUGUACGUUAUGAAUAAGGAUCGGCUAACUCCGUGCCAGCAGCCGCGGUAAUACGGAGGAUCCGAGCGUUAUCCGGAUUUAUUGGGUUUAAAGGGAGCGUAGAUGGGUUGUUAAGUCAGUUGUGAAAGUUUGCGGCUGAACCGUAAAAUUGCACUUGAUACUGGCAGUCUUGAGUACAGUUGAGGUAGGCGGAAUUCGUUGUGUAGCGGUGCAAUGCUUAGAUAUCACGAAGAACUCCGAUUGCGAAGGCAGCUUACUAAACUGCCACUGACAUUGAUGCUCGAAAGUGUGGGUAUCAAACAGGAUUCGCUCCCCCAGUAGUC
rnacentral:rRNA from 1 species